GGUCCUGUAGUGUAGUGGUUUAUCACUUGGGAUUUUGAACGUGUCGGUUGGGCAACGCACCCAGGUUGGCCGGCGGACAUGGAUCUUCCCAAGACCCAGGUUCGAACCCUGGCAGGACCU